GGUUAAUACCGCAUACGCUCCUGUGCAGAGAGGUACAGGAAGGAAAGGUUUACUGCUGAGGAAUGAGCCUGCGUCCGAUUAGCUAGUUGGUGGGUAAAGGCUCACCAAGGCGACGAUCGGUAGCUGGUCUGAGAGGACGAUCAGCCACACUGGAACUGAGACACGGUCCAGACUCCUACGGGAGGCAGCAGUGGGGAAUUUUCCGCAAUGGGCGAAAGCCUGACGGAGCAACGCCGCGUAGGUGAUGAAGUUUUUCGGAACGUAAAACCCUUUCGCCAGGGACGAAGCGAGUGACGGUACCUGGAGAAGAAGCAUCGGCUAACUACGUG
rnacentral:rRNA from 1 species